rnacentral:misc_RNA from 1 species
GCUCAAGGGGAGUUGGGUAAAGUUAGCAAACAUUGAAAAUCUUUGUAUGGCUUGAUGUUGAAGCAGAGUCCUCAAGCCUAGUUUAGGAGGUUCAAUGAAGUGAUUUAGGAAUUCGGCAUGAAAAAGAGUGUGUGAUAAUUUCAAUGUUGUAAAAGUCAACAAAAGGCGCCGGGCCAGGCACAGGGCAAGGCGAGGCUGCUGUGACUCGCCUGGCAGAGGCAAGGUUGCUGCGAAGUGGCAACUGCCCCAGAGCUGAAAGGCGAUGAGGACAUGAGGCACUGCCUCAUAAAAGUAAAAGCAACUUUGAUUUUUUUU